UAAACUUACAUCAGUAUGAUGUCAAAAAUAUAUCAUAUAUUUUUACAUCAUAAUUGGAUCACAAGACAGGUCAAUUUUACGUCAUAUUUACGUAAAAUAUUGUGACAUUCCUAUGACUUAUAAAUGACGUCAUAUUGAAGUCAUGUGUUCACUGGAUCACUGUCAAAUGACGGCCUUUCGAUAGUCAAGUGACGGUCAUUCGACGAUCAUUUGUCGACACUGUGAAUUUAUGGUACAUUCACCGUCGUUUCACGAUCAUUUUACCGUGACCACGAAUCCGCCAGGGAAUCAACACUGAUUUUGAAAGUGCUCUAGGUAUCGCUAUUCUAAGGAACUAUCCAGAGGCUACUCAUACUCGAUGUUAUUUUCAUUAUUGCCAGGCGAUAAUGAAAAGAAUAAAGAAGUUGCGUCUUCUGAAUGCAAUAAAUGAAAGCAAUGAAAAUCGAUUGUUUUUACAAAAAUUAUUAGUACUACCUCUACUUUCUCCUGAUGAUAUUGAAUUAUUGGCAUUUUACUGGAUUCUCAGUACUACUGCACCAGUACUUUUAUUGCAGUUUAAGAAGCUAUUAAAGUAUUUUCAUAACCAGUGGAUAAGAAGAACAAGGCCAGAUGUAUAUUCUGUUUUUCUUAGAGUUUUUAGAACAAAUAACUUCUCCGAGGCUUAUAAUAAAGUAUUGGCUCUACGGUUUGGAACUCAUCCCAUAUUUGGGAUUUUACAGAAAAAAUUGUUCUUUUACAAGAAUUAAAGCGUAUCUCGAAGUCGUGAAACCUUAAAAAAUGAAAUUAUCCAUAGCGCUUGGGUUUUAUACCAAAACAACCAAUUUGGUAUUCCGCAAUUUAUUAAUUGUGUGAGCUACUUCAUCAAUGAACUUAAAAGUGGAAGAGAUGUUGAUGUUCAACAAAUUCAUAAUUUCAUCGCUGAAAAUCCAAUUGAAAUUGAAUUCGUUGUUGGUGAACAUAUCACAGACUGUACGAUGUGUGAACUAAGAAUGACCAAUCAUAUUUGUCAGCCAUGCAACAAUUGGUUUGGAUGCUCUCGGUGUGUGCAAAACAUGCGAGUCUUUCCUGCUCGCGUGCAAGCUAAUUUGCGUUGCCCAACUUGCGACAAUGUUAUAGCAUCAUUUGAACAGAUUUUUUGAAUAUUUUCUGACAUUAAUGAUUUAUUUAAAUACAAAAAAAAACUUUUAAUAGAAAUU